CUUCAUCCUUUCCCCACCGCACAGCCGCCGCUCAGGCAGAGAGGCGGCGCGCUGGCCGCUGAUGCGCUGGCGCGCGGAGCGGCCGGCUGGCCGGCGCGCGGGGCCGCCUGGCGCUGCACAGGCGGCGCGGGACUGAGGCGCGGGUCGGCGCUGGCGCGCGGGCGAGCGCGCGGGGCGGCGCGCGGCGCAGGUGGCGCGCGCGCACGGGCUGAGGCGGCACGCGGGCCCAGAGGCGAGCGGGGGUGCCGCGCACGGGCGGCCGCGCGGGUGCCACGCGGGCGGCGCGCCUGCCGCGCGGGCGGGCCCAGAAGGGCGCGCGGGCUGCCGCGCUCGGGCGGCGCGCGGGCGGCGGCCGCGUGGCGCUGCGCUCGGGCGGCGCGCGGGCCCAGCAGCGCUGGUGGCGCACGGGCAGGCCGGCCCAGCAGCGCGGCGCGCAGGGGCACGCGGCGCAGGGCGCGGUCGCAGGCUAAGCUGCGUGGCCCGUAGCGCAGGCGGCGCGCGGCACAGGGCCAAGCAGUGCAGCGCACACAAUCUCUUGAUUCGUGAUGAAGAUAUGUACUUUCAUACGUUCGAUGUGGAAGAUUCACGAUGGAACAACUUGAGGCAGCUCGGGCUGGAGCGGGCGAUGGACAAGAUUUAGGAGGAUGAUUCAGCCUUCAAGACAUUGGUCAUACCAACAUUCUUAAAUGCUUGAGAAUUCGGAAUAUCUUCCUCUCAUAAUAACGCGGAUUUUGAUCGUGUGCCUGAGCAGCCUGACGCCCGCUCACGGACGGGGAAAAUCCUUCCCCGCGAGUGGGGACGGGGAUAGGGACGGCCUAUUUUGUAUCUUCGGGGAGUAGAAUGUUCGCUUGUUCCCCGGUGGGGAUAGCCCCGUUGCCAUCCGUAGACGCAAUAGAGCAGCAGAACACAACAGGUAGCAAAAUCGAGAGAAAAAUAAGUGAAUUCGCAUUAAUCCAUAGAAAAUAACGAAAUCUAGUUCUAACUUUUUUCUGUUGGAAAUCUUAUGGAAAACAAGAUUAUGAUAUGUGGCACACUAUCAUAUUAGUAAAAUGAACUUAAAAUUGUCAACGGGGGUAAUUUAUCCGGUUUUUUAAGUUAGAGGGAGUAGUUGUCUUGUUUUUAAGUUAGGAGAGGUAUUCAAUCUUGGUCACAAGUUCGGGGCAAAACAGAUUUUACUAAAAAUUUAUUGCAGGUUAUUCAACAACUUUCCAUAUAUCAAUAGCACUAAUUAUUAUUGAUUUUAACAAUAAAUAAUAUCAUUAGCAUGACUCAAUGAAUACUAUGGACAGUAUGAACUUACGCGUUGUUAUGGGAGGAAGAUAUUCCGGAUUCUCUAGCAUUAAAGAAUGUUGGUACGACCAUGUCUUGAAAGCUGAACUAUCUUUCUAAAUCUUGUCCAUCGCUCACUCCAGCCCGAGCUGCGUCAUGUUGUUCCACCGUAAAUUUUCCAUGUCGAAACGUAAGAAAGUACAUAUCUUCAUCACGAAUCAAGAGGUCUACGAUAUAGCAAUGAGUAAGAUUUUGCGGAGCCUCUGAAUCCCAAUAUGGUUGCUGCUCAUUCUGGUAUCGGCAUUAGCAUAGGGCGUGACAGGAGUUCCAUUCACAAGAAAAGGGGAAAUCCGACAAUCACGAUGCUGCAGAGUUCGCCACGUCCGCCGAAGACCCUGUACCCCACCUCGGAUAUCGUGCCACAAGAUCGGUAUGGCACCCUCAUUGAGCUGCCGAGGGCUAGAGAAGUUCUGUGGCGCUGCCAUAUCCUGUAACAUAAAUGAUGUGUCAAUUGUAAAUCAACUAUAAAAUAUUUUUUUUGUAUUUGUUAGUCACAUAUGUUUGUAGGUGGAGAGGUGGUGGUGGCAAGCUGGGCAGUAUACGUGGCGACGGGCGUGCCGUGUUGUUCCCGGCGGUGAUGGCGCGGAGACGAGGAGGUGGGGCGGCUGUGUGUGAGCGGAAUCGGGUGGAGGUGGUGGGGAGCGGCUGGAUUUUGGCUGUCGAGUGAGGGCUUUGGCUUGGCUGAGUAGGAGCAGAGGGAGGCAUGGGAGGAGGGGGGUGCCGGGAACAUAAGGGUGCCAGACCGACGUGAACCUGGCUGGUUAGUGAUGAAGGGAAACCUGCUAGCUUUAGCUUUUGGUCAGUUCUUCAAAAAGUUCAAGAAGGGUUGCAGGACAUUAGAUUCUUCUCCGACCUGAAGAUCGGAUGGUUGGCCCUAGGGAAUUAAGAUGGCAUGCAGCGAGCAAGUGCGAUGUGCUCGCUCAGCUCUGAAUAGACAAUUUGUGUAACCUUUUGUUGUAAUAGCUAAUGUGUGAUGACACUAAUAUUGCUUAUACUAGACUUACCGCCAUGAACUUGAUGCUUAUUUUGAAUUAUUGUCGGUCAGAAGAGGAGCAGAAACCCAGAACUUGAACUCCUGUUAAUUGUCUUAGUGUAGUUAUAUAUGGACAUGUGAUGAUAUGAACCGCUGUUAAUCUUUGUUGGUGUGGUGGAUAAUAAACUUUCUGUUAGAUUAUUGCUAA